CAUGGAGCUGAUUUGAGUCAUAUGCCGGUGCAGUACAGCCUUCCAAAUAGCUAACUGUGCUCCUCUCAUCGGCUACGAUCAGAGUCCUCUCAAACUGCCCGGUCUCCUUGUCGUUGAUCCUGAAGUAGGUCGAGAUUUCCAUGGGGCAGACCGUGUCCUUGGGCACGUAGCAGAAGGACCCGUCGCUGAACACCGCAGAAUUGAGGGCGGCAUAGUAGUUGUCGCCGGGGGGAACGAUGCUGCCGAGGUAGCGUUUAACCAGGUCGGGGUACUCGCGGAUGGCCUCUGAGAUGGAGCAGAAGAUGACGCCCUUGGCCAUGAGCGCCUCGCGGUGGGUGGUAGCGAUGGAGGUGGAGUCGAUGACGGCGUCGACGGCGACGUUGGUGAGGCGCUUCUGCUCGGUGAGCGGGAUGCCGAGGCGGUCGAAGGUCUUGAGCAGCUCCGGGUCGACCUCGUCGAGGCUGUUGAGCUUGGGCUUGGUCUUGGGCGCGGAGUAGUAGCAGAGGGAUUGCAGGUCGACGGGCGCGUACUCGUUGUCGCUCCAGGUGGGCUCGACCAUGGUGAGGAAUCGGCGGUAGGCGGCGAGGCGGAAGUCGAGCAUCCACGCGGGCUCCGCCUUGAGCUCGGAGAUGCGGCGGACGGUGGCCUCCGAGAGGCCCUUGGGGAUGGAGAAG
rnacentral:lncRNA from 1 species